rnacentral:rRNA from 1 species
CAAGGAAUUUUGGGCAAUGAGCGAAAGCUUGACCCAGCGACACCGCGUGAGGGAUGAAGGCCUUCGGGUUGUAAACCUCUUUUCCUGGGGAAGAAUUUUGACGGUACCCAGGGAAUAAGCCUCGGCCAACUACGUGCCAGCAGCCGCGGUAAUACGUAGGAGGCAAACGUUAUUCGGAUUUACUGGGCGUAAAGGGAGCGUAGGCGGUUCCUUAAGUCAGAUGUGAAAUCUUCUGACUCAAUCAGAAGGUGUCAUUUGAUACUGAGGGGCUUGAGAGCAGCAGAGGGAAAUGGAAUUUCCGGUGUAGCGGUGAAAUGCGUAGAUAUCGGGAAGAACACCAGUGGCGAAGGCGAUUUCCCAGGUUGUUUCUGACGCUGAGGCUCGAAAGCGUGGGCAGCGAAGCGGAUUAGAUACCCGCGUAGUCCACGCCCUAAACGGUGGACACUAGAUAUAGGAGGUAUCGACCCUUUCUGUGUCGAAGCUAACGCUUUAAGUGUCCCGCCUGGGGAGUACGGCCGCAAGGUUG